CCGAGUUUUCAACUCCCAAACCCCCUGUGAACAUACCUGAACGUUGCCUCGGCGGGACCGCCCCGGCGCCCUCUGCGGCCCGGAACCAGGCGCCCGCCGGAGGACCCCAAACUCUUGCUUGCAUCAGUGGCAUUCUCUGAGUCGAAAAAAAACAUAAAUGAAUCA
rnacentral:misc_RNA from 1 species